rnacentral:rRNA from 1 species
AGUGAACGCUGGCGGCAGGCCUAACACAUGCAAGUCGAACGGCAGCACAGAGGAGCUUGCUCCUUGAGUGGCGAGUGGCGGACGGGUGAGGAAUGCGUCGGAAUCUGCCUAUUUGUGGGGGAUAACGUAGGGAAACUUACGCUAAUACCGCAUACGACCUACGGGUGAAAGUGGGGGACCGCAAGGCCUCACGCAGAUAGAUGAGCCGACGCCGGAUUAGCUAGUUGGCGGGGUAAAGGCCCACCAAGGCGACGAUCCGUAGCUGGUCUGAGAGGAUGAUCAGCCACACUGGGACUGAGACACGGCCCAGACUCCUACGGGAGGCAGCAGUGGGGAAUAUUGGACAAUGGGCGCAAGCCUGAUCCAGCCAUGCCGCGUGUGUGAAGAAGGCCUUCGGGUUGUAAAGCACUUUUGUCCGGAAAGAAAUCCAAUCGAUUAAUACUCGGUUGGGAUGACGGUACCGGAAGAAUAAGCACCGGCUAACUUCGUGCCAGCCGCCGCGGUAACAC